rnacentral:rRNA from 1 species
CUUCGGGGAACGAUAACGGCGUCGAGCGGCGGACGGGUGAGUAAUGCCUAGGAAAUUGCCCUGAUGUGGGGGAUAACCAUUGGAAACGAUGGCUAAUACCGCAUAAUGCCUACGGGCCAAAGAGGGGGACCUUCGGGCCUCUCGCGUCAGGAUAUGCCUAGGUGGGAUUAGCUAGUUGGUGAGGUAAGGGCUCACCAAGGCGACGAUCCCUAGCUGGUCUGAGAGGAUGAUCAGCCACACUGGAACUGAGACACGGUCCAGACUCCUACGGGAGGCAGCAGUGGGGAAUAUUGCACAAUGGGCGCAAGCCUGAUGCAGCCAUGCCGCGUGUGUGAAGAAGGCCUUCGGGUUGUAAAGCACUUUCAGUCGUGAGGAAGGUAGUGUAGUUAAUAGCUGCAUUAUUUGACGUUAGCGACAGAAGAAGCACCGGCUAACUCCGUGCCAGCAGCCGCGGUAAUACGGAGGGUGCGAGCGUUAAUCGGAAUUACUGGGCGUAAAG